rnacentral:rRNA from 1 species
UACGUAGGGCGCAAGCGUUGUCCGGAAUUAUUGGGCGUAAAGAGCUCGUAGGCGGUCUGUCGCGUCUGCCGUGAAAACCCGAGGCUUAACCUCGGGCUGGCGGUGGAUACGGGCAGACUAGAGGUAGGUAGGGGAGAAUGGAAUUCCCGGUGUAGCGGUGAAAUGCGCAGAUAUCGGGAGGAACACCGGUGGCGAAGGCGGUUCUCUGGGCCUUACCUGACGCUGAGGCUCGAAGGCUAGGGUAGCGAAAGGG